UACGGAGGGUGCGAGCGUUGUCCGGAAUUAUUGGGCGUAAAGGGCUCGUAGGCGGUCCGUCGCGUCGGGAGUGAAAACUCGGAGCUUAACUCCGAGCCUGCUUCCGAUACGGGCAUGACUGGAGUUCGGUAGGGGAGACGUGGAAUUCCUGGUGUAGCGGUGAAAUGCGCAGAUAUCAGGAGGACACCGGUGGCGAAGGCGGGUCUCUGGGCCGAUACUGACGCUGAGGAGCGAAAGCGUGGGGAGCGAACAGG
rnacentral:rRNA from 1 species